UGCGGGGUGGAGCAGUCUGGUAGCUCGUUGGGCUCAUAACCCAAAGGUCGUAGGUUCAAAUCCUGCCCCCGCUACCA
rnacentral:tRNA from 2 species